GAGAGAGAGAGAGAGAGAGAGAGAGAGAGAGAGAGAGAGGAACCCUUUCUUUACAAUAUGUACACUAGGCCUCUUCCCAAAAGUGGUCUUGAAGACCAGAUGGCUUGGAUUCAAAGGUGGAUCUCUGCAUCUGCCAAACCAUCAGAAACAACCAGGACGAUAUAUCUGGGGAGUUGGUAAGUUAAUAUAGACCCACCUCUGAUUCCAGAUACCAGGCCGAGAAGCUAGGUCUUCCCUCACUGGAGGAGCUGUGCACACCCCCUUCUUCUGUUUCUCCACACAUCCUCCAGCUUUAAGCUAAAGAUCUUUCCUAACCCAGCUAAGGGCUCCCCCCACUCCCUUCUCUUCUCAGCCUAGGUGCAAACCUUGAAGCCUCAAGGGGAAGCUGUCUCCCAGAUCAGCCUCUGCCCUGGAUUCUUCUCUGGAUUGUUGGGACCCCAGCCUAUCUGCUGACACCUGGGGACUCGCCUUAGUUUCUCACACAUAUACCCCUAGGGAUCAGGCCAAAAGUCCCCUUCCCAUUCCAGAAUAUAGACAUCCUUAACGCCCUAGUGCUGUCAGAGAAGGUGGGCGUAGAUUUACAACCCGGUGGUGGAGAUGAAGGGGUGUAGGAGCAAGCGGGUGCCGGAGAGGAGAGGGUCUGUGAUCCUCUUGGAGCCAGGGACAGCGUCCUCGGUCCAUUAUCUGAACAUUCAGUCACCGCCCAAGAUGCCAACGCAUUCAGAACAGAGCCGAGAGGUUUGUUUGUUCCUGGCGAGGGAGCUCUUUCUAACCUAGGCAGAAGCAGCCAGCCUUCUGAAAUACCCCGGGGCAGGAAUCCCAGGGCUGCUUCCCACCUCCGGACUUCUCAGUAGAACAAGCAAACUCAGUUAAAAUGCCAGAGAUUUUCAAGGAAUGGAACAAAGAAAGCAGAGUGACAGGAAUGAAAGACACUGAAAAAGUCCUCACUGGCAGGAAUUUAUUCUUGUUACUUCUGCAUACCAUCAACGAUGUUUGCAUCUUCAUCAAGGCUAGACAUCUCUGCCUGUGAACUUGGGAUGGAUGGAAGAUGUCUGUGGAAGGAUGCAGAUGAUGAGGCCACUAAGAACUCAACUGUGAUGGACAGUCUUUUUCAAAUUAUUGUUAUUAUUAUUAUUAUUAUGAUGAUGAUGAUGAUGUGUAUUUUAUUAUUCCAUAGUAUCUGACCACCCUCUCUAUUACAAAUCAUACUUAAUGUUGUCACUUAUGGUACAGUAUACACAUAGCACCAUAAAAACUAGCCAUGGAGUUAGCCCUCACUACUGCAUGAAUGUCUGAAAGACAGGUACCAUCAGCUAUCUUUCUAGCUUGCAUCAAUUAUCCUGUCUACUGCUGCAUGUCCAUUUUUACCUAUCAUUAAGGUUCACAAAAACUUAAGUUACUUAAAAAUUAAACUUUUAAAUGUUUGUUGACAAAACAAUAAACAUGAAAAAUUUUUCCUAUUACCUCGGCCA
rnacentral:lncRNA from 1 species